rnacentral:lncRNA from 1 species
UAAUCCACUAAUAAAAUUCAUCAUUAAGAGUUAAUAACAAUUAGAGAAACAAUAUUUAUUCAUGAAAAGAAAAAAAUAAAUAAAAAGGAAUCAGUGGUCAGUCAGCAGCAUGAUAUGGUCAACAAUCAGUGAGUCAAAAACAAAAGAGAAAAAUCGAAAAAAAAGCAGACCCUUUUCCAUCUUUUUUCGAAAGUAAACCUUUCAUUUUUCUUGAUCCUUUCUUUUCUUUUUCUUUUUUUUUUUAGUUUCAUGCACGAAUAAAAGGAAAGGAGGUGGCUUCACCACACCGACGGCCCUCAGCCACCACGAAGCCCACAUCCCCUAGUUUCCAAAAAACACUAAAAAAAGAGAAGCUUUUCUUAGUUUCCUUUUUCGUCCUUCCCUUCUUAUGUUUUCGUUCCCUAGUUUUGUGGGCUGAAAACGACAUCAUCAAUUUGAAAUCCAAACGUGAGAACCAAAGCAUUGAAGAUCUGGAAAGAUAAAAAAGAAGAGCAAAAGUAAUAACUUCUAUUUUAGCUUUCAAUGUACUAAAAAGGACAAAAACAAAAAAGAGAGUUUUUCCGACCACUGCGUACGGUGUUCUGCUACCGGAAAUCAAAGACCUUUGGGAUCUCCGACGCCAGAACCGUCCAAGAAAAAUUGAGAAGGGCAAAGGAAGAAAUAGAGAAA